rnacentral:misc_RNA from 1 species
GCAUAGUCCAUCUUUCGGUAUUUGCUUGCAAAUCAUAUUUGAAAUAUCAAUUUAAAAAACUUCUAUUUUGUGGAGGAAAAAAGUUGGGUGCAAUGCAAAUAAAUGAAAUGUCAAUGUAGAAAAUAUUAUGACAAAAAAUUGUCCUCUGCUUAAUACCAUGUUUUCAACUGCACAAUAGAUUUUUAUAUAACUUGGAGCUUAAAAGAGGUGUCGAAAUAUUCACAUCUUUGCGAUCCCCUACAAAUGCACAUAUACACACCAGAAAGAAAGGAAAAAGAAAAAAGAG